UACGUAGGGGGCAAGCGUUAUCCGGAAUUACUGGGUGUAAAGGGAGCGUAGACGGUAAUGUAAGUCUGGAGUGAAAGGCGGGGGCCCAACCCCCGGACUGCUCUGGAAACUAUGUUACUAGAGUGCAGGAGAGGUAAGCGGAAUUCCUAGUGUAGCGGUGAAAUGCGUAGAUAUUAGGAGGAACACCAGUGGCGAAGGCGGCUUACUGGACAGCAACUGACGCUGAGGCGCGAAAGCGUGGGGAGCAAACAGG
rnacentral:rRNA from 1 species